ensembl:lncRNA
CAGCAAUAAUUACACUCCUUCUUUCUGAUAAACAGGUCUCCUUGUAUCGAAACCAGACCUGGUCAUCUUUUUGGAGCACGAGAAGGAGCUGUGGGGUGUGAAGAGACAGGAGACAGUAGCCUCACACCCAGAAAUCACCUACCGCCCUGACCAGAGUUUGCGCAGCCACCUGUAGACUGCCAAGAUGAAAGAAAAGAAAGUCCCGUGCAGACGCUUACUCUCUGUCAGUUGUCAGCAGGACUUCACAUCUUCAAAGUCACAGUUUCCAGGGAUGAAGCCCCGGAGAAGGAUUCACAGAUGUCACCACGAAGCCAGCUUCCUCCUCAAAUUCCUGUUUAUACCUGUUCUGAGUUGUCCUGAGAGUUGUGUCAUAAGGAGACCAAAGAGACCAUUUGCUCUAAGACUUGGCGUCUUCCCGAAGCACAAGGGCUUCCUCUCCUUUCUUAGACUGACUGUCACAACCUCGGGGGGAGCCAGCAGCUCCAUAGCUGCAGUCCUCAUCGUCACCAGUUCUGUGAACCAUCCUCAAUGCCUUUGCCCCAAAACUCCAUCAUGUUGAAUGGAAAUCAGCAGUGAUGAGCACCAGAUUAUCCUCUCUGAGUGGUCCCUGGGUCCUGGGAGAGAGAGCAAAGAGGUGGCCAUGCAGGCAAGUUCUCUAUCCUGCCUUCAGACUUUUACUUGUCUGUCCAUCCACCUACCUGUCCUCCCAACGAUGUACCCAUCCACCCGUCUGUCCACCCACCAGCCCGCCCAACCCCCCUCAAUCUUUGCACCCACCCAAGUAACCAUCCAUCUGCCCAUCCAUUCGCCAAUCCACCCCCCACCACCCCCCAACGAUCCAUCUAUCCAUCCGUAGGUAUAUUUGCCUAUCUGUUUUUCUGCUCACACAUUUCCUACCUUCCUACCUACCUACCUAAAGUAUUGCUAUGUGUGUAGGGGGGGCAGUUAAAUCUAGAAACUCUUUUUGUAAGAUUAUCUGAUAGAUUACGACUACUUGCAGCCCACUGAAAUUCACAAGUCUUCAAAACGAAGUUCCUUUCCCCUCACACAUUCUCUAUAAGCAUGGAACAGCACUUAAGUGGGUCCUGUGUCGGCAGCUUGACCUUGAGGCUCCUUUGGAGAAUGUUUGACCCAGCGUUUGCUAUAGAAAUACUAUUUUAGGGGCACCUGGGUGGCUCAGUCGGUUGAGCCUUCAACUUCGGCUCAGGUCAGAUCUCAUGUUCAUGGGUUCCAGCCCUGUGUCGGGCUCUGUGCUGACAGCUAGCUUUGAGCCUGGAGCCUGUUUCCUGUUCUGUCUCCCUCUCUCUCUGCCCCUACCCCUCUCAUGCUCUGUCUCUCUCUGUAUCAAAAAUAAAUAAAACAUUAAAAAAUUUUUUAAAAAAGAGAAAAAGACAUACUAUUUUAGUAUUGGGAGAAACCUGAAAAAUAAUCCAACAUAAACUUUAUUUUCAGGAAUAUUUUCCUUAUUUUGUUUCUCAUAUUUUUUAGAAAUUUCAGUGUCCUCUUUUCUGGAUCUUGUGGUCUCUUUUUGAGAGCUUUUUGCAUCUAGCUUUUCAUCUGCUCGGAUCUUAAAUAUAUUUUUCUAAAGACAUGAUAACAUGGAUACUUUUACUGUGGGUAUUUUGUGUGGACAUGAGUGUAAGUGAGCUGUUUGCUUGUUCUUCUUUUGGUGAAUGGCCAGAACUAUUUAUUUUUAUUGCUAACCAGCUUGCUGUUUUUGAAGUUAUAUUAUUUGGUGGUUUGCUUUAAGAUUUAAUUUUAUUAUAUUUUUAUAUAUGUUAAUAUUAUUAUGUUUUCCUUAUUCUAUUUAUUUAAUUUUUUAAAAUGUUUAUUCAUGUUUUGAGACACAGAGACAGAGCACCAGUAGGUGAGCGGCAGAGACACAGAAUUCAAAGCAGGCUUCGGAGUCUGAGCUUUCAUCACAGAGCCCAUUGCAGGGCUUGAACUCACAAACUGCAAGAUCAUGACCAGAGCCAAAGACGGAUAUUUAACCAACUGAGCCACCAAGAUGCCCCCUAUUUAAGGUGAGCGCUACAGGGUCGGCCUUAGCUCGUGCAGUUGCUUUGCGUCUGGUUCAUAAAG